rnacentral:rRNA from 1 species
GUGGAUUAGAUAGCCGGGUAGUCCACGCCGUAAACGAUGAUCACUCGCUGUUAGCGAUACACAGUUAGCGGCUAAGCAAAAGCAUUAAGUGAUCCACCUGGGGAGUACGGCCGCAAGGCUGAAACUCAAAGGAAUUGACGGGGGCCCGCACAAGCGGAGGAACAUGUGGUUUAAUUCGAUGAUACGCGAGGAACCUUACCUGGGCUUAAAUGUAGAGUGCAUGAGGUGGAAACACUUCUUCCCUUCGGGGCUCUUUGCAAGGUGCUGCACGGUUGUCGACAACU